AAAUCCUCAACCUUUCAGCUUUUGUUGAUUAGGCUUGGACUUUGGGAGUUUUUGCAGGCUUCUCAGUGGUCUGCUCUUCUUAAAUAUAUCGAUGCCGGGGCCUCCUGUUGUCUAGCAUAUGGUGUGAUAGUUAUCUACGCCAUUACGAACAAAUGUAAUAAGGAGGCUCAGCUUCUAAUUGUCUUUUAAGAGGCAAUCUCUGACAUUUU
rnacentral:misc_RNA from 1 species